rnacentral:lncRNA from 1 species
CUUUUUUAUGCCCAAGCGUAGGAAAACCUUUUGUGACAUAACAAAAAUGUAAAAAAUAGAUCAUUAAAUUCAUACGUAGUCUGCGAAUUAAAAGAGAUUCUACACCUAUAUCCCCCGACUGACGGAUGCUAUAGGGUAUGAAAAUACGAAAAUAUUAACGCGAAAUAGGAAAUCAGAGAUCGGCCAAAAAGUCGGAAAAUAUGUCAGCGCCGAGGGGCAGCGGGAAAGAUGACAUCCAAUAUGCGGGAAAACAUUGAAGACCUGACCCACAUAUUUCGUUGGUGGUUCUCCUCAGUUUCCUUCCACCCUUUCCACGACUUCUGCUUUUGCCCUCCAAAAAGUGAUUGACAAGGUCACUAGGUGGACUACAAAAGAUAUGCAAAUAUUGGGUGCCGAACGAAAGCUGCGGGCGUGACUCACGACCACCCAUCGGGGUCACCAAACAUCCCCCAUCCCAGUGGGGAACGAGCUCGGCCAUAGGAUCGACAAGCAGUCAUAAACUCGAACUACUUAUGGCAACUAGCAAUUCUCAUUGCAUAUUUAUUCGGCUAUAAAAUGCGAAAGAGCAGCCGCACAUGGGAUCACAUGGCAUUCCAUACCAAGCGAUCCCUAGAUCCCCAACUAAAUAAAUUUCAAAAUUGUUUAUUUUCUUCCAAAC